GAUGAACGCUGGCGGCGUGCCUAAUACAUGCAAGUCGAGCGAACAGACGAGGAGCUUGCUCCUCUGACGUUAGCGGCGGACGGGUGAGUAACACGUGGAUAACCUACCUAUAAGACUGGGAUAACUUCGGGAAACCGGAGCUAAUACCGGAUAACAUGUGAACCGCAUGGUUCAACAGUGAAAGACGGUCUUGCUGUCACUUAUAGAUGGAUCCGCGCCGCAUUAGCUAGUUGGUAAGGUAACGGCUUACCAAGGCAACGAUGCGUAGCCGACGUGAGAGGGUGAUCGGCCACACUGGAACUGAGACACGGUCCAGACUCCUACGGGAGGCAGCAGUAGGGAAUCUUCCGCAAUGGGCGAAAGCCUGACGGAGCAACGCCGCGUGAGUGAAGAAGGUCUUCGGAUCGUAAAACUCUGUUAUUAGGGAAGAACAAAUGUGUAAGUAACUAUGCACGUCUUGACGGUACCUAAUCAGAAAGCCACGGCUAACUACGUG
rnacentral:rRNA from 1 species